GUCGGGACCUAAGCCGAGGCCGAAAGGCGUAGGCGAUGGACAACAGGUUGAUAUUCCUGUACCACCUCCUCACCAUUUGAGCAAUGGGGGGACGCAGGAGGAUAGGGUAAGCGCGGUAUUGGAUAUCCGCGUCCAAGCAGUUAGGCUGGGAAAUAGGCAAAUCCGUUUCCCAUAAGGCUGAGCUGUGAUGGCGAGCGAAAUAUAGUAGCGAAGUUCCUGAUUCCACACUGCCAAGAAAAGCCUCUAGCGAGGUGAGAGGUGCCCGUACCGCAAACCGACACAGGUAGGCGAGGAGAGAAUCCUAAGGUGAUCGAGAGAACUCUCGUUAAGGAACUCGGCAAAAUGACCCCGUAACUUCGGGAGAAGGGGUGCUCUGUUAGGGUGCAAGCCCGAGAGAGCCGCAGUGAAUAGGCCCAGGCGACUGUUUAGCAAAAACACAGGUCUCUGCGAAGCCGUAAGGCGAAGUAUAGGGGCUGACGCCUGCCCGGUGCUGGAAGGUUAAGAGGAGCGCUUAGCGUAAGCGAAGGUGCGAAUUGAAGCCCC
rnacentral:rRNA from 1 species